GCUCCGCGCUGGCCGUCCGCCCGCUCGAACAAUGGCUGGCGGUACGCCCCGCGUCCACUACCUGGCGGGCUUCAGCUGCCCGCUGGGCGGCCUGGCGGCGGGAAAACCCCGCGUGCUGUGCCACGAGGCGGACGUCUUCCUGUCCACCGGGAGCGAGUUCGUCUAUGUGUACGACCAGGAGGGCGGGCUGCUGACCGCGGUUUACCGGUUCCCGGACCAGGUGUGGCACCUGCAGCUGCUGGCCCCUCGCAGGGCGCUCUACGUCCUGUGCGCCCGGAGGGGCAUCUACUGCCUGUCGCUGGACACCCCCAGCAGGUCUGUGAGCCAGGCCAACAAGGACAGUGAAGAGGAUGAACUCCCUUACCCUGUGAUGCCCGUGGACCCGGAUGCCUGCGUCCUCCCCGAUGCCACACUCUGUGCGUUCACUGUGCUGGACGACAUGCUUGUUGCCCUGGCACAGGGCCCCACCCAGUGGAAGAUGCAGCUGUUUGAGCACCCCUGUUUAGGGGAAGACCCCCAGCCAGGGGGCCAGAUCGGUGAGGUGGAGUUGUCCACCUAUACCCCCGAAAUUGGUAUCCCAGGAAAGCCCACAGCCCCCCACUUCCUGCCAGUGCUGUGCUGUUUGUCACUGCCAGGCUCCAGAGCACCACAUGGUCACCCCCAGGCCUGUGGAGGCUUCACACUAGAGGAGGCCCUCUUUGGGCUACUCUUUGGAGCUGAUGCCACCCUCUUGGAGUCGCCUGUGAUCCUCUGUGGUCUUCCUGAUGGCCAGCUCUGCUGUGUGGCCCUGAGGGCCUUGGUCACCUCUAGGUCAGCCCCUGGUGACCCCAAGGCCCUUGUCAGGAUCCUCCAUCACCUGGAGGAGCCUGUUGUCUUCAUUGGGGCCUUGAAGACAGAGCCACAGACUGAGGAGGCUGUGGAGAGUGAGCUGUCCAGUAUGGAGGUCCACUCUGACUGCCUCGUAGCCCUUGGUCACCAUGGCAGGACGCUGGCCAUUAAGGCCAGCUUUGACAAGUCAGGGAAUCUGGUGCCAGAGCUUCAAGAGUACUUCCUCCCGGGGCCAGUGCUCUGUGCUGCCUGUGGUGCGGGUGGCCGCAUAUACCACAGUACCCCCUCGGACCUCCGCGUGGUGGAUUUGGCUCAAGGAAGCGUCCCCUUGGACCCUCAGCAGCCCAACAGAGCCCCUGGAAGCCUGCCGCCCACACUGUGCCCAACCAGCUUGAGUGUCUGCAGUGUCCUCACUGUCUCUGUGUCACCCAGGGCACCUGCAGGUGAGACUGAGCUCCUGGCUCUGUCUGCCAAAGGGCGCCUGAUGAGCUGCAGCCUAAGCCCCAAGAGUCCUGGUCCCACCAGAAUGACUUCAGCAAGUGCAGACCGGAAAAUCAAGGAACUGCUCUCUGGCAUCGGCGACGUGUCUGAGAGAGUGUCCUUUCUGAAGAAGGCAGUUGAUCAACGGAACAAGGCCCUGACGAGCCUCAACGAGGCCAUGAAUGUGAGCUGUGCCCUGCUGUCCAGCCGGGAGGGCCCCCGGCCUAUCUCCUGUACCACCACCGCCUCCUGGAGCCACCUGCCCCCGCAGGAUGUGCUGACAGCCACCUGCCUGCUACAGAACAGCGGGGACUUCAGCCUGGACCGGGGCUGGACCUUGUGCAUUCAGGUGCUCACCAGUUCCUCUGCCCUUGACCUGGACGCAGCUGGCUCAGCUGUCACCUACACCAUCCCUGUAGACAGGCUUGGCCCUGGCAGUCAGCGGGAGGUGACACUGCCCCUGGGCCCGACUGAGAGCGGUGUGCUUGACCUACCUGUGACCGUGUCCUGUGCACUCUUCUACAGUCUCAGGGAGGUGGUGGGCGGGGCCUUGGCCCCCUCAGACCCCCUGGAGGACCCCUUUCUGGAGGAGCAUGCCCUCGACCUCCUUCCUGAGCAGGAGGGCAUCUGCCUGCCUCUGAGCAGGCUUACAGUGGACAUGCUGCGGUGCCUGCGCUUUCCUGGCCUGGCCUCACCCCACACACAGGCGCCCUGCCUGCUCAGCCCGGCCCGCAACCCUGUGGACACUUUCCUGGAAGCCUGCUGUGGGCCUAGCAGUGAGCCGACUGGCCCUGCCUCCCUGCGGGCCAAGUACUUGCCCCCAUCGGUGGCCUCCAUCAAGGUGUCAGCUGAGCUGCUCAGGACUGCCCUGGAGGAUGCUCACUCAGGUGUCCCCCUUUGCAGUGCCACCUUGCAGUGGCUGCUUGCUGAGAAUGCUGCUGUAGACAUCGUGAAGGCCCGGGCACUGUCUUCCGUCCAGGGGGUGGCCCCCAAUGGCACUGACAUCCACCUCAUCAUCCGUGAGGUGGCUGUGACUGACCUGUGCCCAGCAGGGCCCAUCCAGGCUGUGGAGAUCCAAGUGGAGAGCUCCUCCCUGGCAGACAUGUGCAGAGCACAUCACGCCAUUGUUGGGCGCAUGCAGGCAAUGGUCAGGGAGCAGGCUGCCCAGAGCUCCAGCCCACCCGACCUCCGCAUGCAGUAUCUUCGCCAGAUCCAUGCUAACCAUGAGGCACUGCUGCGGGAGGUGCAGGCCCUGCGUGACCGUCUGUGCACGGAGGAUGAAGCCAGCUCCUGCGCCACAGCGCAGAGGCUCCUGCAGGUGUACAAGCAGCUACGCAGCCCCAGCCUCGUCCUGCUGUGACCAGGUGGGCCCAGGCCUCCACCCCACUGCCUUCAGCCCUCUCCAGCAGCCGAAAGACCCUUGAUGGUUGCUCAGAGAAAGAACACCACGGCUCUGGCCGCACUCUGCCACACUGCUGGGCACUUUCCACCCCAAGCACUGAGGCUCCCCUGGCAGCAUCCUGUCUACUGAAGUUCUGGACCCCCAAGCGGCACUCCAUGAGGGACACAGGGCUUCUGGGCUUGGGACUUGGGGUGGGUUCAUGACUUGUUGCUGCUAUUCCCCCCCCACACCCCGGGAGCACCAGCUGCCCCUCUGGUGCCACCAGGUGGGAGGGUACUCCUGCAACCAAAGCACAGAGAUGUGGGGCUCCUGCAGGUGCCAGUGGCUCCUUGCCAUACUGAUGAAGGGCUAUCAGGGUGGCCCGUGGCCAGGAAGCUCAACAGUGAGGUACCAUGCCUGAGCUGCACUGUGUGCUGCUUUUAGGGUCACUUGGGGCCAGGGGCUGCAACCCAGCAUCCCCACCCCCACCUCUUCCUUCAGCUGGGCAGUGCCCAGUCGCUGGUGCUGUUUUUGCUAUGGGCUGGGGUGGCUGUGUGUCUAGACGUCUGUGGAGCGAGCCACUCCUGCUGGGAGCACUGUCGGCAGUGUGCACAGCAGGUGCUGUGAGGUGCUUUGCUGACAAGUGACCCUUCGUGUUGAGCUCA